rnacentral:rRNA from 1 species
UACGAAGGGGGCUAGCGUUGCUCGGAAUUACUGGGCGUAAAGCGCACGUAGGCGGUCUUUUAAGUCGGGGGUGAAAUCCUGGAGCUCAACUCCAGAACUGCCUUCGAUACUGGAAGACUCGAGUCCGGGAGAGGUGAGUGGAACUGCGAGUGUAGAGGUGAAAUUCGUAGAUAUUCGCAAGAACACCAGUGGCGAAGGCGGCUCACUGGCCCGGUACUGACGCUGAGGUGCGAAAGCGUGGGGAGCAAACAGGGAUUAAGAAACCCU